AUUGAACGCUGGCGGCAGGCCUAACACAUGCAAGUCGAACGAGUGGCGGACGGGUGAGUAAUGUCUGGGAAACUGCCCGAUGGAGGGGGAUAACUACUGGAAACGGUAGCUAAUACCGCAUACCAUCGGCUUUGCCCAGAUGGGUAUAGCUAGUAGGUGGGGUAAAGGGUCAACUAGGCGACGAUCCCUAGCUGGUCUGAGAGGAUGACCAGUCACACCGGAACUGAGACACGGUCCAGACUCCUACGGGAGGCAGCAGUGGGAAAUAUUGCACAAAGGGCGCAAGCCUGAUGCAGCCAUGCCGCGUGUGUGAAGAAGGCCUUCGGGUUGUAAAGCACUGUCAGCGGGGAGGCGUUACCCGCAGAAGAAGCACCGGCUAACUCCGUGCCAGCAGCCGCGGUAAUUC
rnacentral:rRNA from 1 species